GGUUAAGUAACCAAGGGCGCACGGUGAAUGCCUUGGCACUAGGAGCCGAUGAAGGACGGGACGAACACCGAUAUGCUUCGGGGAGCUGUAAGUAAGCUUUGAUCCGGAGAUUUCCGAAUGGGGGAACCCCACAACUGAAGGUUGUGACACGCAAGUGAGGUAAACGCAGAGAACUGAAACAUCUAAGUACCUGCAGGAAGAGAAAGAAACAUCGAUUCCCUAAGUAGCGGCGAGCGAACGGGGAAGAGCCCAAACCAUGGUGCAUGCACCAUGGGGUAGUAGGACUCCCAUACGGGAGAGGACGCAGUAACCGAAUGACUUGGGAAAGUCAGUCAAAGAGGGUGAGAACCCCGUAGGUGAAACUGUAACCUCCCCGGGAGGAUCCUGAGUACGGCGGGACACGAGGAAUCCCGUCGGAAGCGACCAGGACCAUCUGGUAAGGCUAAAUACUCCCUAGUGACCGAUAGUGAACCAGUACCGUGAGGGAAAGGUGAAAAGCACCCCGGGAGGGGAGUGAAAAGAACCUGAAACCGUGUGCUUACAAGUAGUCAGAGCCCGUUAAGGGGUGAUGGCGUACCUUUUGUAGAAUGGACCGGCGAGUGAUGAUAGUUGGCAAGGUUAAGUUGAAGAAACGGAGCCGUAGCGAAAGCGAGUCUGAAGAGGGCGACAGUCAGGUGUUAUCGACCCGAAACCAAGUGACCUACCCAUGUGCAGGUUGAAGGUGUGGUGAAACACACUGGAGGACCGAACCGAAACACGUUGAAAAGUGUUCGGAUGACGUGUGGGUAGCGGAGAAAUUCCAAUCGAACUUGGAGAUAGCUGGUUCUCUCCGAAAUAUAUUUAGGUAUAGCCUCAAAGUAAGCGUCGUGGAGGUAGAGCACUGUUUGGACUAGGGGGUCUAUCGACUUACUCAAUCCAGAUAAACUCCGAAUGCCAUAGACGUAUCUUUGGGAGUCAGACUGCGAGUGCUAAGAUCCGUAGUCGAAAGGGAAACAGCCCAGCCCACCAGCUAAGGUCCCUAAAUUACUGUUAAGUGGCAAAGGAUGUGGGGUUGCCUAGACAACUAGGAGGUUGGCUCAGAAGCAGCCAUCCUUGAAAGAGUGCGUAAUAGCUCACUAGUCGAGUGACCCUGCGCCGAAAAUGUACCGGGGCUAAACAGUAUACCGAAGCUGUGGAUUCAUCGUAAGAUGAGUGGUAGGAGAGCGUUCUAUAGGCGGCGAAGCGAUACCGUAAGGAGUCGUGGAGCGUAUAGAAGUGAGAAUGCCGGUAUGAGUAGCGCAAGACGGGUGAGAAUCCCGUCCACCGAAUGACUCAGGUUUCCAGGGGAAGGCUCGUCCGCCCUGGGUUAGUCGGGACCUAAGCUGAAGCCGAGUGGUGUAAGCGAUGGCCAACAGGUAGAGAUUCCUGUACUUAUCAUUUGUGAUUGAGUGAUGGAGUGACACAGGAGGUAAUGUUCCGCAUCCGGAUGGAAGAGGAUGUCGAAGCAACGAGGUGGAUGAGGAGUAAAAGGCUUCUCAUUGUAACAUUGAGUUGUGACCGGGAGUGAAAUGAAGUAGCGAAGGGAACUAGCCACACUGUCGAGAAAACCUUCUAGCGAAUAAAUGGUAACCCGUACCGCAAACCGACACAGGUAGUCGAGUGGAGCACACUCAGGUGAUCGAGAGAACUCUCGUUAAGGAACUCGGCAAAAUGACCCCGUAACCUCGGGAGAAGGGGUGCUGACUGACGUCAGCCGCAGUGAAUAGGCCCAAGCGACUGUUUAUCAAAAACACAGGUCUCUGCUAAACCGUAAGGUGAUGUAUAGGGGCUGACGCCUGCCCGGUGCUGGAAGGUUAAGAGGAGCGCUUAGCGCAAGCGAAGGUGCGAAUUGAAGCCCCAGUAAACGGCGGCCGUAACUAUAACGGUCCUAAGGUAGCGAAAUUCCUUGUCGGGUAAGUUCCGACCCGCACGAAAGGCGUAACGAUUUGGGCACUGUCUCAACGAGAGACUCGGUGAAAUUAUAGUACCGGUGAAGAUGCCGGUUACCCGCGACAGGACGGAAAGACCCCAUGGAGCUUUACUGUAGCUUGAUAUUGAGUGUUUGUUGACCAUGUACAGGAUAGGUAGGAGCCAAUGAAGUGUGGACGUUAGUCUACAUGGAGGCGCUGGUGGGAUACUACCCUUGGUGAAUGACCCCUCUAACUCGCGUUAAAGAAACGGAAGACAGUGUCAGGUGGGCAGUUUGACUGGGGCGGUCGCCUCCUAAAGUGUAACGGAGGCGCCCAAAGGUUCCCUCAGAAUGGUUGGAAAUCAUUCGCAGAGUGCAAAGGCAGAAGGGAGCUUGACUGCGAGACAGACAGGUCGAGCAGGGACGAAAGUCGGGCUUAGUGAUCCGGUGGUACCGUAUGGAAGGGCCAUCGCUCAACGGAUAAAAGCUACCCUGGGGAUAACAGGCUUAUCUCCCCCAAGAGUUCACAUCGACGGGGAGGUUUGGCACCUCGAUGUCGGCUCAUCGCAUCCUGGGGCUGAAGUCGGUCCCAAGGGUUGGGCUGUUCGCCCAUUAAAGCGGUACGCGAGCUGGGUUCAGAACGUCGUGAGACAGUUCGGUCCCUAUCCGUCGCGGGCGUUGGAAAUUUGAGAAGAGCUAUCCUUAGUACGAGAGGACCGGGAUGGACGCACCGCUGGUGUACCAGUUGUUCCGCCAGGAGCAUCGCUGGGUAGCUAUGUGCGGGAUGGAUAAGCGCUGAAAGCAUCUAAGUGCGAAGCCAGCUUCAAGAUGAGAUUUCCCAAUUCGUAAGACCCCUGAGAGACGAUCAGGUAGAUAGGCUAGGAGUGGACGUACAGUGAUGUAUGGAGCGGACUAGUACUAAUCGGUCGAGGACUUAACCAC
rnacentral:rRNA from 1 species